rnacentral:rRNA from 1 species
GCCUACGGGAGGCAGCAGUGGGGAAUAUUGCACAAUGGGCGCAAGCCUGAUGCAGCGACGCCGCGUGAGCGAAGAAGUAUUUCGGUAUGUAAAGCUCUAUCAGCAGGGAAGAAAAUGACGGUACCUGACUAAGAAGCUCCGGCUAACUACGUGCCAGCAGCCGCGGUAAUACGUAGGGGGCAAGCGUUAUCCGGAUUUACUGGGUGUAAAGGGAGCGUAGACGGCUGUGCAAGUCUGAAGUGAAAGCCCAGGGCUCAACCCUGGGACUGCUUUGGAAACUGUGGAGCUAGAGUGCUGGAGAGGUG